GCCAGUGUUGUGUAGUGGUUUGAAUGUUGGACUACGACACUGGAGACCAGGGUUCGAUUCCUUGCUUGGCCA
rnacentral:tRNA from 1 species